rnacentral:miRNA from 1 species
UAAACCUUGGUCUGUAAUGCA